rnacentral:tRNA from 1 species
UGAAAGGUGGUCUAGCGGUUAGAACGCUGGCCUUGUAAUCCUGGGGUCUCGGGUUCGAGUCCCGUCGUUGCCC